rnacentral:rRNA from 1 species
UUGGUGCCUUCGGGAACUGUGAGACAGGUGCUGCAUGGCUGUCGUCAGCUCGUGUUGUGAAAUGUUGGGUUAAGUCCCGCAACGAGCGCAACCCUUAUCCUUUGUUGCCAGCGGUUCGGCCGGGAACUCAAAGGAGACUGCCAGUGAUAAACUGGAGGAAGGUGGGGAUGACGUCAAGUCAUCAUGGCCCUUACGACCAGGGCUACACACGUGCUACAAUGGCAUAUACAAAGAGAA